UCAUAUGCUUGUCUCAAAGCUUAAGCCAUGCAAGUGUAAGUUCACGCCACGCAUUAGAACGGGCGAAACCGCGAAUGGCUCAGGAACCGGACCUAAUCCUCGGGACCGUAUUCCUCCUCGGAGGCGAUGGAUAACUGUGGCAAUUCUAGAGCUAAUACAUGUGACACAGGCCGCGAUCGGUCGGCGCGCGUUGUCGUCGCCUCGCCUUCUUGCGCGCUGGCAUCCACGUCGGCCGUUCCGGGUCGCGGCGCUACAUAUUAGACUGAGACCGAUGCGCGUCAUUCCGUCCUCCUGUCGUCGUCGUGGGCUCGAGUGGCUUACGCUUCUCUGUUUGCGUCGGUGGCGGGGCUCACAGGGCGACGCGCUCCGCUUUGGUGACUCUGGAUAACUCACUGGUCGAUCGCACGGGCUCCCAUGCCCGGCGACGGGUCUCUCGAGGGUCCGCCCUAUCAACUGUCGACGGUCGGUUAAGUGCCUACCGUGGUUACUACGGGUAACGGGGAAUCGGGGUUCGAUUCCGGAGAGGGAGCAUGCGAAACGGCUACCACAUCCAAGGAAGGCAGCAGGCGCGCAAAUUACCCACUCCCGGCACGGGGAGGUAGUGACGAAAAAUAACGACGCGGGACUCYGUCGAGGCCCCGCGAUCGGAAUGAGUACACUUCAAAUCCGUUAACGAGGACCAACCGGAGGGCAAGUCUGGUGCCAGCAGCCGCGGUAAUUCCAGCUCCGGUAGCGUAUAUUAAAGUUGUUGCGGUUAAAAAGCUCGUAGUCCGAACUCGGGUUCGUGGUCGCGCAAGCGGCCCCGGGGCGGCGGCGCCAUCGUCCAUCGUUGACUUUGGUCGUCCGUUCGCAUUCCCGGCCCUUUCCGCCGGUGUCAACCGCUAGCAUAUCCGUCACGUGGUCUUGCUGGCRGCGAGGUGGACGAGGAGGUCGCGUCGGGAUCCGGGAGCGGUUCCGGGCGGGCGAACGAAAUCACGGGGUCGUAAGUGGUGGUGCUCGUUCGAGGGUGCGGGGCGGCUUAGCGCGCUAGUGGCUGGCUGGCGUUGUGUGUGUGUGUGGUGCUGCGUGUGUUGGCGGUCGUCGGUGGAUUUCGGUUCGUCGUCGUUCGUUUCGCGCGCGCGCGCUCACGUGCGUGCACGACUCGCUACUGCUGCUGCCGUCGUUUCGCUUCUUCCGUCUCGAGUUCGUCGCCAUCGCCCUUCCUCGCUUCUUCCCCCCCUCUACCUCCCCUCGGCUCACUCCGAGUCCUUGCUUCGUGUCUGCUGCGCGCGUGUGCGGUCAGCGGUUUCUCCUCCAAGGGUGCUCUUAACCGAGUGUCCGCGGCGGCCGGUACGUUCACUUUGAAAAAAUUAGAGUGCUCAGAGCGGGCUGUUCAAGCUUGCAUACGAUAAGCAUGGAAUGAUGGAAGAGGGCCUCGUCUACGUCUGUCGGUCUCCGUCUACGGCGAGGCAAUGAUCAAAGGGAGCGGUCGGGGCCACUCGUAUUGCGACGUUAGAGGUGAAAUUCUUGGAUCGUCGCAAGACGAACUGCAGCGAUGGCGUGUGGCAAGCACGUUUCCCUCGAUCAAGAGCGAAAGUCGGAGGUUCGAAGACGAUCAGAUACCGUCGUAGUUCCGACCGUAAACGAUGCCGACCGGCCAUCCGCCGGCGUUCGCUUCCAUGACCCGGCGGGUAGCCUGCGGGAAACCAGAGUUCGGUUCCGGGGGGAGUAUGGUUGCAAAGCUGAAACUUAAAGGAAUUGACGGAAGGGCACCACCAGGAGUGGAGCCUGCGGCUUAAUUUGACUCAACACGGGAAAACUCACCCGGUCCGGACACCGGUAGGAUUGACAGAUCGAUAGCUCUUUCUCGAUUCGGUGGGUGGUGGUGCAUGGCCGUUCUUAGUUGGUGGAGCGAUCCGUCUGGUUGAUUCCGAUAACCAACGAGACUCCGGCCUGCUAACUAGUGCGCCGAUGUGAGUGAUUUUUACGGCGGGYYCGCGGKGUCCAYCSUGGCUCCCGGGAUCCGGGUCGGUCGGUUUCUCACGCACUUCUUAGAGGGACGGGUGGCAGAAAGCCACACGAGGCGGAGCGAUAACAGGUCUGUGAUGCCCUUAGAUGUCCGGGGCCGCACGCGCGCUACACUGGAGGUAUCAGCGGGGACUUCGCCCCGGCCCGAGAGGGUUGGGAAAUCUCUUAACCACCUCCCGUGAUAGGGAUCGGGGCCUGUAACCAACCCCGUGAACGAGGAAUUCCCGGUAGGCGCGGGUCAACAGCCCGCGUCGAUCACGUCCCUGCCCUUUGUACACACCGCCCGUCGCUACUACCGAUCGAACGGUCCGGUGAGGUCCUCGGAUCUGGCCGACGACGCUGCCCGGCUGUGCACGAUGUCGGCAACGAUACUCGUCUCAGCCUCGGCGUUCGAUGCCUGGAGAAGACGACCGAACCCGAUCGUUUAGAGGAAGUAAAAGUCGUAACAAGGUUUCC
rnacentral:rRNA from 1 species